ACGCCCGUAACAUCUACAUCCCAGUUCUUCGUUAACAACUAAUUUUCAGAGCUACCCGGCAUAUACUGAGGAACUUAGCAUCAUUAUGUGACUCAUCAUAUUAUAAAGGAUUGGACGUCAAUCCUAUGCCCAUUUGCACCGUGUACAAAUGAGCUAUGGACAAUGACUCAAACUUGAAAAGAAUAAAGGUAAUUUCUUCAGUUAAUCUGUAAACUCU
rnacentral:misc_RNA from 1 species